GCCCUUGGGGGGAGGCCUCUGGGCUCUGUGCCCUGCAGCUCGGCAGACAUUCGGGGCGGACAGAAACGGGGCUCGGCGCCCCCCGCGUGCACGUGUGCUAGCCCAGGCAGGAGGGAGCGCCUCGGCGGAGGAGUCAAGGAAGAGGGGGAGGGAGAAACGCGCCAGAACCUCGGUCCCGGGCGCCCUGGUCGGCCGCGGAGGAGCUGCAACCUCCAACAGGAAGGUGUGGUCCCUGCCAUGCUAUCUGCUCUGCUCAGUGACUGAAGGCGCCUGCAUCCCAGCUCUGCCAGGAAGCAAAGUGAGAACUCUUUUCCUUUUGACCGGGGACAGCCAGGCCUUCAUUUGCUGGAUCAAUCUUAAAGCUCCCCACUGACCCCAGCCUUGCUGCCACCCUUGCUGCCUUCCAUCCCAGCCUAGGUUUCCUCCAUAAAGUCACUGGGAAAGCAAGGACUCUUGACUGCAUGACACAGAAUCCAAACUCAAACUGGGGAGGCACAAAGAGUCCACAUCACCUCUCUGAGCCUCAGUUUGCCCUUCAGUGUAAUGGGGUCAUAAUGCUACAUGUAGUACAGUUUGAUGUAAGGAUGAAAGGAAGCAACGCAUGUCAAAGCCUUAGAACUGUGUCUGGCAGGUGGUAAGCACUCACGAUCAGCGUACCAUUUGUAUUGUUAUUACUACUGUUAUUACCACUACUCAAGGGAUGCGGGGCAGAGACACUGCCCUAUCUUCAAAGAACUCACUGUUAAGAAGGAAAAGCAUAAAUAUUACACAAAGAUAAGUAAACAUCCCAAGAUCACAGCAGCCUACGAGACAGCAGAGCCAGGGCGAAUUGUGCAGUGUCAGAGCGAUACAACUCUGCAGUCAAACAGGUGUACCGUGAUCCAGCGCCACAGUGGGAAUGAAAAGACUACACAAUCCAUUUAUUCCACAAACAUUUACCAGGUGCCCACCACGGGCCAGGCGCCGUGCCAAGGCAUCGGGGCUGCAACUAUGGCCAGACAGACGUCAUCUCUGCCCCUAGGGGCUCCCACCCAGCAGAAGAGAUAAGCCCGGAACAAAUAAUUAUUGAAGUUCAGUGGAGCUCAGAAGAAAAAUUAUAUUAGGCCAUAAAAUGUCUACCAGAAAACAGAGCUUAGUCUGAGGGUGUAGCCAGCAAGCCUUCUUUCCUGAGGAAGUGGGGAUUAAAGGGCAUGACAGUCGGCAGGGAGAGCAGCCGGAUGAGAGCUGGAGAGUAGACGUUACACACGGUAUUUAAGGGUGACAUCUGGCUUCUACCAUAAGGCAGAGCAGUUGAAGUUCAGUCCAGAGUCGAAAUGUGUGGAGUCUAAUCCCAGCUCUACCACGCGCUAGCUGUGAUCUCUUGGCCAAUGUAACACACCUCUCUUGGCCCUAGUUCCUUCAUCUGCAUAAUGAUCACAAUGUAAGUACCCCACUGGAUUAAGUGAAAUAACAAACGUGAACUACUUAGCACAUUACCAGUCAAUCCUAUUUUAGAUGCAAGUGGUAGAAAAACAAAUGUAAAUGGUUUAAGGCCAAAGGAGUUGUAUUUGUUUAUGUAACUGAAAAAUUCAAGGGUAGAUCCGUGGAUUUCAGGAAGGGCUUGAUCCAGGAGCUCACAAAAUGUGACUGAGGUUCAGUCUCUCUCUGUCUAUUAGCGCCUCUUCUGACGUGGCUUUCCUUUGGGGCAGGCUCUUUCCACACUGUGACCCUGCAGCUCCAGGCUCAGGCUUUCCCACCUCAGCAAUUCCAACAGAAAGAGAGGUUUUCUAAUAUUUCCAGGACAAGCCCCAGGAUUGAGUCUCACUGCACCAUCUUGGAUCACAUGUUCCUCCCUAAAUCCUAGGCCUGGGUUCCAUGCCAAUCUCUAGAGCUUGAGGAAAAGAAGAUUCAAUUCCAUCCAAACCACAUGGCCAGAGAAUGGGAACGAGUGGCUCCCCAAGGGAAUAUUAAGGUUCUAUAUGGAAGAAAGGCUACCAGAGAAAAUAGGACAACCUGCGUCUACCAUAGCAACCACACAGAGACACAGGGUGACCAUGGACAGUGAGGAAUAAUCCCUCAGUGCCACCUCAUCCUGCAUCCAGCCAUGGAGUGAGCCUCAUCUCCCAUUCAGACAUCUUGGUUUCAGAAGGACAGAGAGGUUCAGAAAGCAAAUUCUGGGACCAGACAGCCUAGAUGCAACCCCGGUAUAGCACCUUCUAGUUGUGUGACCUUGGCAAGUUUCCUGACCGCUCUCUGCCUCUCUCUGUAAAAUGGGCAUAACAAUAGUACUUACCUCAUGAGGUGGUUGUGGGGCUGAAAUGAGGUCGUAUAAAUAAAGCUCAUGUAAACCCA
ensembl:lncRNA CPLX2 complexin 2